CAUCUCUCAUUAAUAUGAUGUAAUGUGAAUACUAUUGCACCACUGAAUUACACAUAACGAUUAUUAUAAAAUAACUGUGAUAACUACUAUGUAAUGAACUUGAGAAGGAGAAGGGGAAGGGGAAAUAUCAGUGUCAACAAAUACAUAAGUUUGUUGCGUAAGACGGCAAAGCUGCUGUUGAUUCUAUACAGAAAACAUCUCUGUUAGGUACCUCCCUUCAUCAAUUACAGCAGGAGAAAAGGAAAACAGGGACACUCCCUCUGCAAAGCUCAAAAACCACCGGCGUGGUGGUUUCUUUUCUGGUUCCAGAUACCAUUAGGACUGGAGUCGAGCAUUCAGCAGAAUGAACAGGAGAUUUUCGAAUUCAGCAGCACUGGUUGCAAAAGGUGAUUGCAUCACACCGGGACACAGCAGCCAUCAUAAAAAUGAGCCAGUUGCCAAGGAUCUGAAUUUUGAUCAGGAGGAAAAAAAUCAUCCAGCAACUUGGAAAUUUAUCUUCUACUGAGAAUUGGCAAAUCCAGCAGCACUCUUGUCUUUGGACUACUAAGGGAAAACUGCAAAACAUUCAGUUUGGUGCAUCUCAAUGCUACCUGAGCUUAAAGAGCUGGGAGGAAGACAAGAUUUGCUGGAAUUUUCUGAGCUUGGUUGUUUUGCUGCAGAUGUUUCAUUACCAGGGACUUCGCAGUAUACUGAAGUUGGAAAAGCCAUACAGAACUGAUCAUCCUAUUUCUGGUCUAAAAUAAGUUUAAAGAAUGUGGCUGAAACUGUGAGGAUUGCAAAGGAUGGAUUUGCUUUCUCCACGUGACUCAACAGGCACAGAUGUCUACUUAUGAUUUAUUUCUAACUGAAAUUGUUCAGCUUUACGUUGCAGGUCUUGAUGAAAUGUACCAGUCAUUUACAAUUACCAACAAUCAAACUAGUAAUUGCCAAGUUUCUGUAAACAAGCUAGCUGAUUGGCAUCUCGUGACCCAGGGAUUGGCACACUAGCUUGAAAUAUUGUUGGCUCAUACGUAUGUUCAAGUACUAACUUGUUAAUGAUGGCCCAUGUAGCACUUUUGGAUAGGAGUACAUAUCCAACGGGUACAUACAACUUUAGGCUUGGCUUGCUCUGGGUGUUUUUUUGAUAGGAAUCAAUGCCACUAAAACAAGAAGAAUCUUUUUUUUCGUGUUUAUUUGCAGAAAGCUAGAAAAACAAAGGAUGAAUUUUCUUUAUCAAUUUUCACAGCUCUAAGCAUGGAAUGAUACCAGUUGGAUUUGUAAGAAGAUAGUGACCGGAUCAUACAUUGUGCUAAAUAGUGUCAUAAUUUGUUUGGUUUUGGUUGUUUAGUGAACCCAGACAUGGUAGGCUAUUAAACAGCACAAAGUUCUUUCUUACCUCAUAUUCAUACAUUACCAAUAUAACUGCUUUCUGACAUACCAUGUAAGAUUUCAUUUGUGAAUUCAAAUAAAUAUGUGGUAUAACUAUGCUGAAA